rnacentral:tRNA from 1 species
GUCCUUUAAGUAUAAUAAUAUAAAUGACUUCCAAUCAUUAGAUCUUAGCUAAACCUAAGAAAGGACA